CCUACGGGAGGCUGCAGUGAGGAAUAUUGGUCAAUGGCCGGAAGGCUGAACCAGCCAUGCCGCGUGAAGGUCAGUGCCCUAUGGGCGUUAAACUUCUUUUGUGCGGGAGCAAUAAUGGUCACGUGUGGCCAGACGAGAGUACCGUACGAAUAAGCAUCGGCUAACACCGUGCCAGCAGCCGCGGUAAUACGGGGGAUGCAAGCGUUAUCCGGAUUUAUUGGGUUUAAAGGGUGCGUAGGCUGUGAGGUAAGUCAGCGGUGAAAUGCCCCCGCUCAACGGGGUGAAGUGCCAUUGAUACUGCCUGGCUGGAAUGCGGAUGCGGUGGGAGGAAUGUGUGGUGUAGCGGUGAAAUGCAGAGAUAUCACACAGAACACCGAUUGCGAAGGCAUCUCACGAAUCCGCGAUUGACGCUGAUGCACGAAAGCGUGGGUAUCAAACAGGAUUAGAUACCCCUGUAGUU
rnacentral:rRNA from 1 species